rnacentral:rRNA from 1 species
UUUAAGGUCUGACCUGCCCACUGAGGAUUUAAAUGGCCGCGGUAUUUUGACCGUGCAAAGGUAGCAUAAUAAUUAGUUUUUUAAUUGAAAGCUGGAAUGAAUGGUUGGACGAGAAAAUAUCUGUCUUAAUUUAAUUUAAUUAGAAUUUUAUUUUUAAGUAAAAAAGCUUAAAUUUCAUUAAAAGACGAGAAGACCCUAUAGAGUUUUAUAUUUUUUAUUGUUAAUAUUAUUUAGUUGUUUUAUAUUUUGAUGAUUGAAAAUAUUUUGUUGGGGUGAUAGAAAAAUUUAAUAAACUUUUUUUUACUUAUAUUCAUUAAUUAAUGUUUUAUUGAUCCAUUAUUUAUGAUUAAAAGAUUAAAUUACCUUAGGGAUAACAGCGUUAUUAUUUUUGAGAGUUCUUAUCGAAAGAAUAGUUUGCGACCUCGAUGUUGGAUUAAAAUUUAUUUUUGGUGUAGGUGCUAAAAUAUUAGGUCUGUUCGACCUUUAAAAUUUUACAUGAUCUGAGUUUAAACCGGUGUGAGCCAGGUUGGUUUCUAUCUUUAAUUUGUGUUAAAUAUUUUAGUACGAAAGGACCAAGUAUUUGUAAUAUUUAUUUUUAUAUGAUUAUUAUUAAUUA